CAAAUUAGAUCCGUAACUUCGGGAUAAGGAUUGGCUCUGAAGAUUGAGAUAAUCGGGCUUGAAUGGGAAACAAUAAAAUGGUGCAUAUGCUCGUUCUGGGUAAAUAGAACUUAUUAUGAAAUUUUUAAUUUUAUAAUUUGUUUGUUCCUCGGAUAGAAGUUAUAUAACCAGUUGUGGAACAUUCUUGCUAUUAAAUAUACUGAUAUGUAAAAUUUUUUAAAUUUUAUUAUAUCAUAUAUUUUUAUAACGGUUAUCAAUUAACAAUCAAUUCAGAACUGGCACGGACUUGGGGAAUCCGACUGUCUAAUUAAAACAAAGCAUUGUGAUGGCCCUAACGGGUGUUGACACAAUGUGAUUUCUGCCCAGUGCUAUGAAUGUCAAAGUGAAGAAAUUCAUUUAAGCGCUGGUUAACGGCGGGAGUAACUAUGACUCUCUUAAGGUAGCCAAAUGCCUCGUCAUCUAAUUAGUGACGCGCAUGAAUGG
rnacentral:rRNA from 1 species